AUUGAACGCUGGCGGCAUGCCUUACACAUGCAAGUCGAACGGUAACAGGUUAAGCUGCCGAGUGGCGAACGGGUGAGUAAUGUAUCGGAACGUGCCCAGUCGUGGGGGAUAACUGCUCGAAAGAGCAGCUAAUACCGCAUACGACCUGAGGGUGAAAGCGGGGGAUCGCAAGACCUCGCGCGAUUGGAGCGGCCGAUAUCAGAUUAGGUAGUUGGUGAGGUAAAGGCUCACCAAGCCGACGAUCUGUAGCUGGUCUGAGAGGACGACCAGCCACACUGGGACUGACACACGGCCCAGACUCCUACGGGAGGCAGCAGUGGGGAAUUUUGGACAAUGGGCGCAAGCCUGAUCCAGCCAUGCCGCGUGCGGGAAGAAGGCCUUCGGGUUGUAAACCGCUUUUGUCAGGGAAGAAAAGGUUCUGGCUAAUACCUGGGACUCAUGACGGUACCUGAAGAAUAAGCACCGGCUAACUACGUG
rnacentral:rRNA from 1 species